UGGGGAAUAUUGCACAAUGGGCGCAAGCCUGAUGCAGCCAUGCCGCCUGUGUGAAGAAGGCCUUCGGGUUGUAAAGCACUUUCAGCGGGGAGGAAGGCGGUGAGGUUAAUAACCUCAUCGAUUGACGUUACCCGCAGAAGAAGCACCGGCUAACUCCGUGCCAGCAGCCGCGGUAAUACGGAGGGUGCAAGCGUUAAUCGGAAUUACUGGGCGUAAAGCGCACGCAGGCGGUCUGUCAAGUCGGAUGUGAAAUCCCCGGGCUCAACCUGGGAACUGCAUUCGAAACUGGCAGGCUAGAGUCUUGUAGAGGGGGGUAGAAUUCCAGGUGUAGCGGUGAAAUGCGUAGAGAUCUGGAGGAAUACCGGUGGCGAAGGCGGCCCCCUGGACAAAGACUGACGCUCAGGUGCGAAAGCGUGGGGAGCAAACAGG
rnacentral:rRNA from 1 species